AACCUUGCAUGAAGGCCUUCACAACAUUACAUAAAAAAUACUUAUGCAAGGACAUCUGCCCAGCAACUGCCUGUCCAAGCUCAGACUGGCAUCACCCUUGGUAUUGAUGUUUAAAGCCAAGGAUAAUUAUUUUAAAAUAAUUACGGAAUCUUCUUAAUUUUUCCUUUAAAAGCCUUUAUCAGGUUGGGCACAGUGGCUCACACCUGUAAUCCCAGCACUUUGGGAGGUCAAGGCGCGCAGAUUGCUUGAGUUCAGGAGUUUGAAACCAGCCUGGGCAACAUGAUGAAACCCCAUCUCUACAUAAAAUAUAAAAAUUAGCCAGGCAUGGUGGUACACGCCUAUCGUCCCAGCUACUCGGGAGGCUGAGGUGGGAGGAUUGCUUGAGCCUGGGAGCCAGAGGCUGCAGUGAGCCAAGAUCAUACCACUGCACUCCAGCCUGGGCAACAGAGCCAGACUGUGUAUCCAAAAUAAAGGAAAAAAAAAACAAAAAAGGCCAGGCGCGGUGACUCACACCUGUAAUCCCAGCACCUUGGGAGGCCGAAGGCAGGUGGAUCACCCGAGGUUGGGAGUUUGAGACCAGCCUGACCAACAUGGAGAAACCCCGUCUAUACUAAAAAUACAAAAAACUAGCUGGCAUGGUGACACAUGCCUGUAAUCCCAGCUACUCAGGAGGCUGAGGCAGGAGAAUCACUUGAACACAGGAGGCAGAGGUUGCAGUGAGCUGAGAUCACGCCAUUGCACUCCAGCCUGGGUCACAGAGCGAGACUCUGUCUCAAAAAAAAAAAAAAAGCAAGACUUUGUCUUUUACUCACACAGUUUACUAUGGCAUGCAUAUUCAUAUUCCCAUUGCAAUGUCCAUUCCAAAAUAAAGACCUUUUCUUUUAGAAAGCCUCUCUGAUCGUUAUUUAGGUUUACAGUUCCUUCUCACAUAGGGUAUAAAAAGUGGUCUGAGACAACUCCACUCCCUGACCAAAACACCAGUGCAGAUUUCAUAGCCUUUAAUGCCUGAGGCAGUGCUGAGGCUGGGCAAGGAAAAUUCAAGUGUCCUUUCAUCCACAAAGUCACUAACACAAACCCAUUCACCUUCGCCUUGAAGCUACUAAUGCCAAGAGCACCAACAGAAGCCUUAGUGCUCAGGAAAGAGAAAAAGGGCCUGGGUUGAGGGCAUCAAAUUCAGGUUUUCGUUGAAACUGAAGUUGUAGCUGGAGAGUAGUCUGGGUGUGUUGAUCCCUCCUAAGCCCUCGCCAAAUAUAGAAUGUGGGAAACCAUAUGAUCUUACCCAUGAAACUGUCCUUGCCUAUGGUCUUUUUCUGCUUGUUCCUAAUUGCUAUUGUAAUUUUAAUGGGUCCCCCUUCAUCAAUUCCACAUUCCAUAUCUUUCAGCUAUUAUACUAAAAAAGUAGGGUAGGCAGGAAGUUGAGGCUGCAGUGAGCCAUGAUCAUGCCACUGCACUCCAGCCUGGGUGACAGUGCAAGACCCCAUCUCUAAAAAGAAAAAAGAAAAAAAA
rnacentral:lncRNA from 1 species